UACGUGGGCAGCGAGCGUUGUUCGGAGUUACUGGGCGUAAAGGGUGUGUAGGCGGUUGUUUAAGUUUGGUGUGAAAUCUCCCGGCUCAACUGGGAGGGUGCGCCGAAUACUGAAUGACUAGAGUGCGGGAGAGGAAAGUGGAAUUCCUGGUGUAGCGGUGAAAUGCGUAGAUAUCAGGAGGAACACCGGUGGUGUAGACGGCUUUCUGGACCGUAACUGACGCUGAGACACGAAAGCGUGGGUAGCAAACAGG
rnacentral:rRNA from 1 species